rnacentral:lncRNA from 1 species
UAUCUUACUUGUUCAUAGUAAUGAGGGUCUGACUAUAAAGCCAAAAUUGUAUUGUUCAUAGAACUCCUCGAGUGAAGGUUUUACAGUCGGGCUUUAGGAAUUAUGAAUGAACAAAAAGGUAGUGUUAAUCAUCAGCUCGUUUAUAGAAAGAUAUUGUUGGUGGCUUUCUAUAACUUCCCACAGAGCUGGAGUCCUAAUUAGUUUCAAUCACUUUUAGCUGGUACUUGCCAUUUUGUUCUCUGUGUUCAUAGGGCUAAACACCUGACGUUGAUCAAUCACUUUCGGAUUAAAUCCAGGUUGCCUCAUCGCAUGAUUCAGUUCUUCAAUCACAAGAGCACAUUGGCGGAGGACCUCGGGGCAUUGGAGAAAUCCUCCGUGAGCCCCCUUCUGACUGACCUACCUCCAUCUAUCUAUAAGAUUAUUUCCCAGGGACCAGCACUACAUGCAGGCAGCAUGUGGUCUACUUUUGCAAGGUGCUCAGCACUUCUAGCUCCCGCUGCUUUCAAUGUUCGGCAUCGGUACACCUCGGAACGGAGACUCCCGAGUGUGAUUAAUGGACUCGUCUCAGCAUUCAUGCUACAGAAGGUCGGUUUGCUAGGUAGUCGGUUAAUAGUUCUUUUCAAGUCUAAUAAACACACACUGCGUACAAUUUAAGCAUUAGUGAAAUGCGGCUCUUGCAUGUGGAGGCUGUGCCCCAAGAAGGUGGGGGGGAGGAAGACAACGAUCGGCUUUGUGCUUUCCCUUCCAAGCACUCCCACCCAUAUAUCCCAGUGGAUAUAGUGUAUUUAGAUUUUCAGAAAGCCUUUGACAAGGUCCCUCACCAAGGCUCUUAAGCAAAGUAAGCUGUCAUGGGAGAAGAGGGAAGGUUCUCUCAUGGAUCGGUAACUGGUUAAAAGACAGGAAACAAAGGGUAGGAAUAAAUGGUCAGUUCUUAGAAUGGAGAAAGGUAAA